rnacentral:rRNA from 1 species
AUUGAACGCUGGCGGCAUGCUUUACACAUGCAAGUCGAACGGUAACAGGCCGCAAGGUGCUGACGAGUGGCGAACGGGUGAGUAAUGCAUCGGAACGUGCCCAGUCGUGGGGGAUAACGCAGCGAAAGCUGUGCUAAUACCGCAUACGAUCUGUGGAUGAAAGCGGGGGACCGUAAGGCCUCGCGCGAUUGGAGCGGCCGAUGUCAGAUUAGGUAGUUGGUGGGGUAAAGGCUCACCAAGCCAACGAUCUGUAGCUGGUCUGAGAGGACGACCAGCCACACGGGAACUGAGACACGGUCCAGACUCCUACGGGAGGCAGCAGUGGGGAAUUUUGGACAAUGGGCGAAAGCCUGAUCCAGCCAUUCCGCGUGCAGGAUGAAGGCCUUCGGGUUGUAAACUGCUUUUGUACGGAGCGAAAAGGCUCUCUCUAAUACAGGGGGCUCAUGACGGUACCGUAAGAAUAAGCACCGGCUAACUACGUGCCAGCAGCCGCCGUAA